UGGGGUGGGGGUGGGGGACUCGUGUUGGAGGUACACCUGCUUAGAACACAUACGACUUACACUUGGCUUGUGUAACAGAUCAAAACAACUAGCCAAUAUUUUAUAAAGAUGACUUGAUUUAUAAGUUACACAACAUGAGGAUAACACCCCUGGCUCAUUCUCUAAGAACAUUAUUGUUAUAAUUUUUUUUUUACAGUCGCUCUGGAGGUGAGAAGUUGGUGAAGAUUUCGACGGGGCCAAAGCCCUCCCUUGACACUGCCUCUGAAGAGACUUUUCUGAUCUUCCUGGAAAUUGCUCUGUUUGAUGGUUCAUUGAGCUUAAAACGAGAGCGAUACUCAACUCCUUUAAAUGUAUGGCUCUGGGGAAUUCCUGCCGUGGCGCAGCUGAAAGGAAUCUGACCAGGAACCAUGAGAAUCACACACACACCUUGUGAAGUCUGUGUGCUCCUGAGACCUUCAGAUGCUGCCAUGGGGCUGCCCUUUGGGACUUCCAGCAGAUUCUUCCAGGACCCCCGCUGCGCCCCUCUUACCUCCCCUUGGAACAGACUCUACGUGGCAACAGGAUCUUACGAUGGAGGAAGCUCAGCCAGACCUGUUAUCUGGGAUGCCAGGAAGACUUCUCUCCAGCUGGGACGAGACUGGGGGACAGGAUGCUGCUGUCUGCUUCCAGCUUAGGAUUGCCACAAAGAGAGUGUGAUAGAUGGAAUGUGUGCCCCUACACACCCCCAAGUUCAUAUGUUGAAGUCCUAGCCCUCGAUGAGAUGGUCUCAGGAGGUAGGGUCUUUCGGAAGUGAUGAGGUCAUGAGGGUGGGGCCCUUGAGGAUGGGAUUAGUGCCCUUAGGAGGAGACCCCAGAGGGCUCCUUGCCCCCUUCUGUCAUGUGAGGGUGUGUUGAGAAAGUCUCUGUUUGCAAACUGAAGGAGGGCCUUUGCCAGAACCCGACCAGGCUGGCACCCUAAUCUUGGACUUUCAGCCUCCAGAACAGUGAGAAAUAAAUGCCUGUGGUUUAUAAGCCA
ensembl:lncRNA